GAUGAAGAACGUAGCGAAAUGCGAUAAGUAGUGUGAAUUGCAGAAUUCAGUGAAUCAUCGAAUCUUUGAACGCACAUUGCGCCCCUUGGUAUUCCAUGGGGCAUGCCUGUUCGAGCGUCAUUUGUACCUUCAAGCUUUGCUUGGUGUCGGGUGUUUGUCCUGAGGGACUCGCCUUAAAGUAAUUGGCAGCCAGUGUUUGGUUUUGAAGCGCAGCACAAGUCGCGAUUCAAGGCUAUACACCAGCUUCCACAAGCCUUUUUCACUUUUGACCUCGGAUCAGGUAGGGAUACCCGCUGAACUUAAGCAUAUCAAUAAGCGGAGGA
rnacentral:misc_RNA from 1 species